rnacentral:lncRNA from 10 species
CGACCACAGAACCUCAGGCUGAUAGUUGUUCACUAACUCAUAGAGCUCUGGCAAUGUCUUAGAAACUGGAAAUUGCCGCUUAUGGAAUGAACUGGAUUCAUCCUCAAGGAAGAGCGGAUGAAACCAUUCAAAAAGGGAAUAGUACAGUCCAAAACGCAGAUUUUAAGGUCCUUAAGGGAUUGCAUCAUGUCUGCAGUGCUCCCUGCUAUGUCUCCAGCCAACUGCUAGCACAAGGUUCUGGCUCUGUCACCCAGGCUGGAGUUCAGUGGUGCGAACUUCGCUCACUGCAUCCUCGACCUCCUGGGCUCAAGUGAUGCUCCCACCUCAGCCUACCAAGUAGCUAGGACUACAGGUGUGUACUCCACCACGCCCAGCUAAUUUUGUCUAUUUUUUCAGAGACAGGGUCUCACUUUGCUGCCUAGGCCAGUCUCAAACUCCUGGCCUCAAGCAAUCCUCCUUCCUUGGCCUCCCAAAGUGUUGGAAUUAUAGAUGUGAGCCACUGCACCUAGCCUUAGAUUCAUUUUAAUAAGCUUUUUAAAACAGCUCACUCUUGUUCCUAUCAUUUCUGUGGUAAGCUUCAGAGCAGUGUUGAUAUCUAAAGUCAUACUCAAAGUUACUCAACUUGACAGGCCCUAAUGUCAGACAGUACUAAAACCACUUGAGUCUUCAUUUGAAUAUCACCACCAUAAGCUUACACU